rnacentral:rRNA from 1 species
GGGAAACCGAGUCUUAAUUGGGCGUUAAGUUGCAGGGUAUAGACCCGAAACCCGGUGAUCUAGCCAUGGGCAGGUUGAAGGUUGGGUAACACUAACUGGAGGACCGAACCGACUAAUGUUGAAAAAUUAGCGGAUGACCUGUGGCUGGGGGUGAAAGGCCAAUCAAACCGGGAGAUAGCUGGUUCUCCCCGAAAGCUAUUUAGGUAGCGCCUCGUGAAUUCAUCUCCGGGGGUAGAGCACUGUUUCGGCUAGGGGGCCAUCCCGGCUUACCAACCCGAUGCAAACUGCGAAUACCGGAGAAUGUUAUCACGGGAGACACACGGCGGGUGCUAACGUCCGUCGUGAAGAGGGAAACAACCCAGACCGCCAGCUAAGGUCCCAAAGUCAUGGUUAAGUGGGAAACGAUGUGGGAAGGCCCAGACAGCCAGGAUGUUGGCUUAGAAGCAGCCAUCAUUUAAAGAAAGCGUAAUAGCUCACUGGUCGAGUCGGCCUGCGCGGAAGAUGUAACGGGGCUAAACCAUGCACCGAAGCUGCGGCAGCGACGCUGAUGCGUUGUUGGGUAGGGGAGCGUUCUGUAAGCCUGUGAAGGUGGCCUGUGAGGGUUGCUGGAGGUAUCAGAAGUGCGAAUGCUGACAUAAGUAACGAUAAAGCGGGUGAAAAGCCCGCUCGCCGGAAGACCAAGGGUUCCUGUCCAACGUUAAUCGGGGCAGGGUGAGUCGACCCCUAAGGCGAGGCCGAAAGGCGUAGUCGAUGGGAAACGGGUUAAUAUUCCCGUACUUGGUGUUACUGCGAAGGGGGGACGGAGAAGGCUAUGUUGGCCGGGCGACGGUU